rnacentral:rRNA from 1 species
CACGUAGGCGGAUAUUUAAGUCUGGGGUGAAAUCCCAGAGCUCAACUCUGGAACUGCCUUUGAUACUGGGUAUCUUGAGUAUGGAAGAGGUAAGUGGAAUUCCGAGUGUAGAGGUGAAAUUCGUAGAUAUUCGGAGGAACACCAGUGGCGAAGGCGGCUUACUGGUCCAUUACUGACGCUGAGGUGCGAAAGCGUGGGGAGCAAACA